rnacentral:rRNA from 1 species
CUACGGGGGGCACCAGUGGUGAAUUUUGCACAAUGGGCGCAAGCCUGAUGCAGCCAUGCCGCGUGUAUGAAGAAGGCCUUCGGGUUGUAAAGUACUUUCAGCGGGGAGGAAGGGAGUAAAGUUAAUACCUUUGCUCAUUGACGUUACCCGCAGAAGAAGCACCGGCUAACUCCGUGCCAGCAGCCGCGGUAAUACGGAGGGUGCAAGCGUUAAUCGGAAUUACUGGGCGUAAAGCGCACGCAGGCGGUUUGUUAAGUCAGAUGUGGAAUCCCCGGGCUCAACCUGGGAACUGCAUCUGAUACUGGCAAGCUUGAGUCUCGUAGCGGGGGGUAGAAUUCCAGGUGUAGCGGUGAAAUGCGUAGAGAUCUGGAGGAAUACCGGUGGCGAAGGCGGCCCCCUGGACGAAGACUGACGCUCAGGUGCGAAAGCGUGGGGAGCAAACAGGAUUAGAUACCCGAGUAGUC